rnacentral:rRNA from 1 species
UAGAUGCGAGAGUAGAGCAUAUCAAUAAGCGGAGGAAAAGAAACUAACAAGGAUUCCCUUAGUAACGGCGAGUGAAGCGGGAAGAGCUCAAAUUUGAAAUCUUCAAGGUUUUACCUUGACGAAUUGUAGUUUAAAGAAGUGUUUUCUGUUGGAGUUUUGGUAAAAGUUCUUUGGAAUAGGACAUCAUAGAGGGUGAGAAUCCCGUAUUUGACCAUUAUUUCCAACUUUGUGAUACACUUUCAAAGAGUCGGAUUGUUUGGGAAUGCAGUCCAAAAUGGGUGGUAAAUUUCAUCUAAAGCUAAAUAUUGGCGAGAGACCGAUAGCGAACAAGUACCGUGAGGGAAAGAUGAAAAGAACUUUGAAAAGAGAGUUAAACAGUACGUGAAAUUGUCAAAAGGGAAGCGUUUGACACCAGUGUUGUUUUUCCGAAAAUCAAUUACGAAUGUUAUGUUUUUGAGGAGUUAUGACUUCAUCGGCUUGCUCCUUUCUUUAUGAAACUUUCUUAAUGCACUUUUCGGUUAACAAGUCAACAUCAAUUUCUUUUGUUGUAAAAGGGUAUGAGGAAGGUGGCUUUCUUUUCGGAGAAAGUGUUUAUAGCCUUGUGCCUCUGCAAUCGGAGAGAUUGAGGUCUGCAGCGUAGAUCCUUCGGGGCUAGAUACAUUUGUGCUAAGUUAUAGCCUUUCAUAGACAACUUGUUGACUAUGAUUUAGUCAUUGUAGCUUACUCGCUGACUGCUAUUUUACCUACGCUUAGGAUGUUGACGCGCGUGUGUGCGUG